UACGAAGGGGGCUAGCGUUGUUCGGAAUUACUGGGCGUAAAGGGCUCGUAGGCGGCCAACUAAGUCCGACGUGAAAUCCCAAAGCUUAACUUUGGAACUGCGUCGGAUACUGGAUGGCUUGAAUUCGGGAGAGGGAUGCAGAAUUCCAGGUGUAGCGGUGAAAUGCGUAGAUAUCUGGAGGAAUACCGGUGGCGAAGGCGGCAUCCUGGACCGACAUUGACGCUGAUGAGCGAAAGCUAGGGGAGCAAACGGG
rnacentral:rRNA from 1 species